rnacentral:rRNA from 1 species
AUGAACGCUGGCGGCGUGCCUAAUACCUGCAAGUCGCGCGCACGGACGAGAAGCUUGCUUCUCUGAUGUUAGCGGCGGACGGGUGAGUAACACGUGGAUAACCUACCUAUAAGACUGGGAUAACUUCGGGAAACCGGAGCUAAUACCGGAUAAUAUUUUGAACCGCAUGGUUCAAAAGUGAAAGACGGUCUUGCUGUCGCUUAUAGAUGGAUCCGCGCUGCAUUAGCUAGUUGGUAAGGUAACGGCUUACCAAGGCAACGAUGCAUAGCCGACCUGAGAGGGUGAUCGGCCACACUGGAACUGAGACACGGUCCAGACUCCUACGGGAGGCAGCAGUAGGGAAUCUUCCGCAAUGGGCGAAAGCCUGACGGAGCAACGCCGCGUGAGUGAUGAAGGUCUUCGGAUCGUAAAACUCUGUUAUUAGGGAAGAACAUAUGUGUAAGUAACUGCGCACAUCUUGACGGUACCUAAUCAGAAAGCCACGGCUAACUACGUG